AAUAACUCCCUAUUUAUUAUUUUUAAUCUUUGUGACCUUAGUUUCUUUAUCAAUGAAAUAUCAAGGGUCUGAGGUAUAUUGUUUUACAAAUCCUUUGGCAUCUAAAAAUGCAUAUUUGAGCUACAUUCCCACUAACAGCAGGAAAUUUAUCCUCCUUUCUUAGCAGUGUAUCGUGUAUCCUAGGACCUUCAACGUAGAACAAUUAAAGCUCUGAACAGCGUUAAGAGCAUUUAGCUUGAGAUCAAGCCAGUCUUUCAUUGGGUUGUGUGAUUUCUGACAAGCCAUCAAGUCAGUAAAUUCAUUUACCUGUGAUAAAACACACUUGAAGUUGUUUUACACCAAGAUGAGAAGAAAUCUCCUAGUUAGUUUUUUCUAUGUUUGCCUUUUACCUUGUCCAAAGAAAUCUCCAAAGGAGAUUUACAAGUAUGAUACAUCCAUUAUUCACUGAUGGUAUGAAAUAUUUAAAGAUGGAAGCUCUGUCCUUCUGCUUUCUAAUUGUUUUCUCAGUGUCUUUCUGUGAUGCAUUUUGGGGGUUUGCAUUCAGCUUAUGAAGUCUAGUAUGACUGUGUUUCCAGUGGAUUGAUACUUUGCUGUGAGCUGUGGUUGUCUUGGAACUUCACAGUAAUCGAAUUUGAAGACACUGAUGUGCAUUCUCAAUACACAACCAUCAAAUUGAAACAGAACUCCAAAGUAGACCAUCUGUCUUCUCUCAUGUUUGAGCCAUCUUGUCUGUGCCCAAAGCAGAUUUUGGGUAAUUACUAAAUUCAAGGUGAAAACUCCAGUACUUCAAAAUCACACAGAUCACUUCCUCAACAUUACACCAGUAGCGCAGACACUGAAAUGGAUAAUUAAUAAGUGGGACCUCCUGAAACUGAGAAGCUUUUGUAAGGCAAAGGACACAGUCAACAAAACAAAACAGCAUCCCACAGAAUGGGAAAAGAUAUUCACCAACCCCACAUCUGACAGAAGGCUGAUCUUCAAAAUUUACAAAGAAUUCAAGAAGCUAGUUUCCAAAACACCCACUAAUCCAAUUAAAAAGUGGUGUACAGAACCAAAUAGAGAAUUCUCAAUAGAAGAAUCCAAAAUGGCUGAAAGACACAUAAGAAAGUGCUCAACAUCCUUAGCCAUCAGGGAAAUGCAAAUCAAAAUAACUCGAAGAUACCAUCUUACACCUGUCAGAAUGGCUAAAUCAAGAACAACUAUAACAGUUUAUGCUGGAGAGUAUGUGGAGAAAGGGGAACACUCCUCCACUGCUGGUGGGAGUGCCAACUCCUACAGCCACUUUGGAAAUCAGUAUGGCAGUUCCUCAGGAAAAUGGGAAUCAGUCUACCACAAGAUCCAGCAAUUCUACUUUUAG
rnacentral:lncRNA from 1 species